CUGGUGUGUAGGUGAAGUCCCUGCGGAUGGAGCUGAAACCAGUCGAAGAUACCAGCUGGCUGCAACUGUUUAUUAAAAACACAGCACUGUGCAAACACGAAAGUGGACGUAUACGGUGUGACGCCUGCCCGGUGCCGGAAGGUUAAUUGAUGGGGUUAGCGGCAACGCGAAGCUCUUGAUCGAAGCCCCGGUAAACGGCGGCCGUAACUANNNNNNUUGUCGGGUAAGUUCCGACCUGCACGAAUGGCGUAAUGAUGGCCAGGCUGUCUCCACCCGAGACUCAGUGAAAUUGAACUCGCUGUGAAGAUGCAGUGUACCCGCGGCAAGACGGAAAGACCCCGUGAACCUUUACUAUAGCUUGACACUGAACAUUGAGCCUUGAUGUGUAGGAUAGGUGGGAGGCUUUGAAGCUGAGACGCUAGUUUCAGUGGAGCCGUCCUUGAAAUACCACCCUGGUGUGUUUGAGGUUCUAACCUUGGUCCGUGAUCCGG
rnacentral:rRNA from 1 species